rnacentral:rRNA from 1 species
UCCGUAGGCGGGUAAUUAAGUAAGAGGUGAAAUCCCACAGCUUCACUGUGGAACUGCCUUAGAUACUGGUUAUCUUGAGUUUUAGUGAAGUAGAUAGAAUGUGUAGUGUAGCGGUGAAAUGCAUAGAUAUUACACAGAAUACCGAUUGCGAAGGCAGUCUACUAACUAACAACUGACGCUAAUGGACGAAAGCGUGGGGAGCGAACAGGAUUAGAUACCCUGGUAGUCC